CCAUUGACAACAACUACUGCCCCAGUGACAACAACUACUGCCCCAGUGACAACAACUACUGUAGCUGGAGCCCUUAUGUGUCUAAAUUGUGUAGAUGAGCAGUGUUCAAACCCACAGACUGUGACAUGUCCUGACUCACAGACGAUGUGUGUAACAGCUACUUCUCUAGAAACCCGUGCCGGAGGGGUAGAGACACAUGUUUUCAAGAGGUGUGCAUCGUCCUCAGUGUGUCCAGCCACAGGCCCUCGUUCAUUUUCAACCAGCUUUAGGGGUGAUGGUGUAGUUACAUCUGCUGAGUGCUGCAACACAGAUAACUGCAACACAGCAACUUUGCCUGCUCCAGUGUCUCCGACAGCUAACAGCCUGCAGUGUUUCACUUGUGUGGGCGAACCAUGUACCACUCUGCAAAGAUGCAGGGGAGACGAGGACCAAUGCUUUCAAUCGACAGGUGAGUCUUUAUGACAGUACAACACAGAUUGUCCAGUAAAUGUUGCUGUCUUGAAGUUUUUGGAAG